GUGCCAUGUGAGGACACUGCUGGAAGGCACCAUCUAUGAAGCAGAGAGUCGGCCCUCAUCAGACACCAAAUCUACUGCCACCUCUGUCUCGGGCUUCCCAGCCUCCAGAACUGGAAUUAUUGGAACGCCGCCUCUUUCCCAAACCCAUCCUCCUACCUACACUUCUCUACUUUCCAAGGGGAAACCAGCGCUGACAUUUCUUUCUACUUCAAAACAUUAACCCCCUGGGGAGUGUUUCUUGAAAAUAUGGGAAAGGAAGAUUUCAUCAAGCUGGAGCUGAAGUCUGCCACAGAAGUGUCCUUUUCAUUUGAUGUGGGAAAUGGGCCAGUAGAGAUUGUAGUGAGGUCACCAACCCCUCUCAACGAUGACCAGUGGCACCGGGUCACUGCAGAGAGGAAUGUCAAGCAGGCCAGCCUACAGGUGGACCGGCUACCCCAGCAGAUCCGCAAGGCCCCAACAGAAGGCCACACCCGCCUGGAGCUCUACAGCCAGUUAUUUGUGGGUGGUGCUGGGGGCCAGCAGGGCUUCCUGGGCUGCAUCCGCUCCUUGAGGAUGAAUGGGGUGACACUUGACCUGGAGGAAAGAGCAAAGGUCACAUCUGGGUUCAUAUCCGGAUGCUCGGGCCAUUGCACCAGCUAUGGAACAAACUG
rnacentral:sRNA from 1 species